AGUGAACGCUGGCGGUAGGCCUAACACAUGCAAGUCGAACGGCAGCACAGUAAGAGCUUGCUCUUACGGGUGGCGAGUGACGGACGGGUGAGGAAUACAUCGGAAUCUACUUUUUCGUGGGGGAUAACGUAGGGAAACUUACGCUAAUACCUCAUACGACCUACGGGUGAAAGCAGGGGAUCUUCGGACAUUGCGCGAAUGCAUGAGCCGAUGUCGGAUUAGCUAGUUGGCGGGGUAAAGGCCCACCAAGGCGACGAUCCGUAGCUGGUCUGAGAGGAUGAUCAGCCACACUGGAACUGAGACACGGUCCAGACUCCUACGGGAGGCAGCAGUGGGGAAUAUUGGACAAUGGGCGCAAGCCUGAUCCAGCCAUGCCGCGUGGGUGAAGAAGGCCUUCGGGUUGUAAAGCCCUUUUGGUGGGAAAGAAAAGCAGCAGGUUAAGACCCCGCUGUUCUGGCGGGACCCAAAGAAUAAGCACCGGCUAACUUCGUG
rnacentral:rRNA from 1 species